rnacentral:rRNA from 1 species
UACGUAGGGUGCGAGCGUUGUCCGGAAUUACUGGGCGUAAAGAGCUCGUAGGUGGUUUGUCGCGUCGUCUGUGAAAUACCAAUGCUUAACGUUGGUCGUGCAGGCGAUACGGGCAUUACUUGAGUGCUGUAGGGGUAACUGGAAUUCCUGGUGUAGCGGUGAAAUGCGCAGAUAUCAGGAGGAACACCGAUGGCGAAGGCAGGUUACUGGGCAGUUACUGACGCUGAGGAGCGAAAGCAUGGGUAGCGAACAGG